GGGAUCUGGGUUGAAUAUACUAGAUUCGUGAUGCAGUUAGUUUUUAAUUUGGAUCGUAUUAUGGAUUGAUAGGUUCUUGUAUUUUACUAGCUUUUAGAGAUACUUGAAGUCAUUGGUAGUGGUAGAUCGGGGCCUCCUGAUGAUGAUCUUAUCAUUGUGGAUCCUGUAAACAAGUGCAAGCACGGAUAUGAUCUCCUUGUGAGGUAUAAUUGGACAUUUGACAACCCUAGGCAUCGGUAUGCAUCUUGCAGUGAGGUAAACAAUAACUUGUUUCAAUUGCAAUAAACCUUACUUGUACUCUUGAUGUAAUGUUGUAAAUGGAAAAUUGUAUGAACGUAAUCAGGGUCUACAGCGUGAAGGGCUGAAAUGAGCGACACUUAUGUGGGUUGAUCCUGAAUGGGAUGGUAGGACUAAAGGUAUUCUAAUGAAGCUAAUGAAGAGGAAGGCAAAAGCUGAAGAGGAAGCAAGGUUGUGGAAGGAAGAAUGUGCAAAGGCUAACAUGAAGCUUGAAGCGACUACCACUGAGCUGCAAAAGGUGAAGGGACACCUGGAACAAGCC
rnacentral:lncRNA from 1 species